rnacentral:lncRNA from 1 species
GUGAGGGAGCUCUUUCUUGUUCCUUAGCGUGGAAAAGAUGUUGUUAUGUUAAAUGCUUUGUAAACUCCUCUUCCUAUGUUGCAGUGCAAUGUCAGCCAGAGGUCACGGCUCCGUCCUUCAUGGCGACAGUUUCAGAGGCUCCGUUGAAGCUUUCAUCGAUGAGGAAGUGAAGAUUGCAGUCACUGCUGCUUUGGAGAGGUUUUACUGCAGUGAAGAAAAAGAGGUGGAAUUUCCUCCCUCCUUGUCUCCUGCUGAGAGAUCUUAUGUUCAGCAGUUGGCCCAGAAUUUGGGAUUCAUUUCUAGGAACACUGGGUAAGUUCUCUUUUAGGACAAGAUGCUUCUUAAAACUCAUCAAAAAUUAUUUUCUUAUUUCAAGGAGCU